UAAGGAAUAUUGGUCAAUGGAGGCAACUCUGAACCAGCCAUGCCGCGUGCAGGAAGAAGGCGCUACGCGUUGUAAACUGCUUUUGUACGGGAGAAAACCCUUGUUCGUGAACAAGGUUGAUAGUACCGUAAGAAUAAGCAUCGGCUAACUUCGUGCCAGCAGCCGCGGUAAGACGAAGGAUGCAAGCGUUAUCCGGAUUCAUUGGGUUUAAAGGGUGCGUAGGCGGCCCUGUAAGUCAGUGGUGAAAUCUCUCAGCUUAACUGAGAAACUGCCAUUGAUACUGCAGGGCUUGAGUACAGAUGAUGUUGGCGGAAUAUGACAUGUAGCGGUGAAAUGCAUAGAUAUGUCAUAGAACACCGAUUGCGAAGGCAGCUGACAAAACUGUAACUGACGCUGAGGCACGAAAGUGUGGGGAUCAAACAG
rnacentral:rRNA from 1 species